rnacentral:rRNA from 1 species
AACGAACGCUGGCGGCAGGCUUAACACAUGCAAGUCGAACGCACCUUUCGGGGUGAGUGGCAGACGGGUGAGUAACGCGUGGGAAUCUACCCUUCUCUACGGGAUAGCUCUGGGAAACUGGAAUUAAUACCGUAUACGUCCUGAGGGAGAAAGAUUUAUCGGGGAAGGAUGAGCCCGCGUUGGAUUAGCUAGUUGGUGGGUAAAGGCCUACCAAGGCGACGAUCCAUAGCUGGUCUAAGAGGAUGAUCAGCCACAUUGGGACUGAGACACGGCCCAA